AGCUUUUUAGUAUACAAAGUAUAUUUGACUUCCAAUCAAAAGGUCCAAUAUUUGGAAAAGGUA
rnacentral:tRNA from 1 species